rnacentral:tRNA from 1 species
GCCUCGUUAGCUCAGCGGACAAGAGCAGCCGGUUCCGAUCCGGCGGGUCGGCCGUUCGAAUCGGUCACGAGGCACCA